GAUGAACGCUGGCGGCGUGCCUAAUACAUGCAAGUCGAGCGAACAGAUAAGGAGCUUGCUCCUUUGACGUUAGCGGCGGACGGGUGAGUAACACGUGGGUAACCUACCUAUAAGACUGGGAUAACUUCGGGAAACCGGAGCUAAUACCGGAUAACAUUUGGAACCGCAUGGUUCUAAAGUGAAAGAUGGUUUUGCUAUCACUUAUAGAUGGACCCGCGCCGUAUUAGCUAGUUGGUAAGGUAACGGCUUACCAAGGCAACGAUACGUAGCCGACCUGAGAGGGUGGUCGGCCACACUGGAACUGAGACACGGUCCAGACUCCUACGGGAGGCAGCAGUCGGGAAUCUGCCGCAAUGGGCGAAAGCCUGACGGAGCAGCGCCGCGUGAGUGAUGAAGGGUUUUGGCUCGUAAAACUCUGUUAUUAGGGAAGAACAAACGUGUAAGUAACUGUGCACGUCUUGACGGUACCUAAUCAGAAAGCCACGGCUAACUACGUG
rnacentral:rRNA from 1 species